rnacentral:rRNA from 1 species
CCUACGGGAGGCUGCAGUGAGGAAUAUUGGUCAAUGGGCGCGAGCCUGAACCAGCCAAGUAGCGUGAAUGAUGACUGCCCUACGGGUUGUAAACUUCUUUUAUAAAGGAAUAAAGUGAGGCACGUGUGCCUUUUUGUAUGUACUUUAUGAAUAAGGAUCGGCUAACUCCGUGCCAGCAGCCGCGGUAAUACGGAGGAUCCGAGCGUUAUCCGGAUUGAUUGGGUUGAAAGGGUGCGUGGGCGGAUCGUUAAGUCAGUGGUCAAAUUGAGGGGCUAAACCCCUUCCCGCCAUUGAAACUGGCGUUCUUGAGUGGAGGAGAGGUAUGCGGAAUGCGUGGUGUAGCGGUGAAAUGCAUAGAUAUCACGCAGAACACCGAUUGCGAAGGCAGCAUGCCGGCUUCCGACUGACGCUGAAGCACGAAAGCGUGGGGAUCGAACAGGAUUAGAUACCCGGGUAGUC